rnacentral:lncRNA from 1 species
GGGCGCCCCUCCCCCAGCCUCGCUGCCGCCUUGCAGUUUGAUCUCUGACUGCUGUGCUAGCAAUCAGUGAGACUCCCUGGGCAUAGGACCCUCCGAGCCAGGUGGGGGUUAUAAUCUCGUGGUGCGCCGUUUUUUAAGCCCGUCGGAAAAGCGCAGUAUUCCGGUUGGAGUGACCCGAUUUCCAGGUGCUGUCCGUCACCCCUUUCUUUGACUGGGAAAGGGAACUCCCUGACCCCUUGCCCUUCCCAAGUGAGGCAGUGCCUCGCCCUGCUUCGGCUCGCGCACGGUGCACGCACUCACUGACCUGCGCCCACUGUCUGGCACUCCCUAGUGAGAUGAACCCGGUACCUCAGAUGGAAAUGCAGAAAUCACCCGUCUUCUGCGUCGCUCAAGCUGGGAGCUGUAGACCGGAGCUGUUCCUACUCGGCCAUCUUGGCUCCUCCCCGCCAAGCCUGUCAGUCAGAAUUCCAUUGCAUGCCUGUUCUUGAACAACCAUGGUCAAGGAGACAAGAUUCCUGAUGACUGACUCACACUAAUCAAAACUCAGCCACUGGUCCUAGCAAACUUCAUGAGAUGAGAGUGGAGAGUGUCCCAUCUCAUCUUAAGCAUAUGACUGUCCCAUACCCAUACAAAAUCAGGUUCUUUGCACAAAGAACAAUAGAGGUGAAUGACCAAUGAGUAAUCAAAGAGAGAGUUUUUCAGGGAGAGAAGAGCUUCAAGAUGGCUGACUAGAGGCACCUGGUACUCACCUCCUCCACAAAGAAGAACCAAAAUAAUGAGUAGAUAUUAAUCACACUUCUAAUAGAUGAUCUAAGGGAGAACACUGGAGUUUAACAAAGAAGUGCCAGCAAACACCUACAGCAAGGAAGGAAAGGGAAGGAGGCAGCCUGCUCUGCUGGGAUCAACUGGGAACCAGGAGGGGCUCCCUAAUGCAGGGAAAGGCUGAAGAAAUCAUACAGAGACUACACUACUACACACACCUGGAAUCAAAGCCAAAGUACCCUACCCGACCAACACCACAGAUACAACUUCAGGAAAAAGUACUCCCCUAUGAAAGCAAAUCCAAAAAAUUGGAAGAAGCAACUGUUACACCAGAUGCACAGAUAUCAAAGUAAGGACACAAGAAACAUGAAAAAGCAAGGAAAUAUAACACCUCCAAGGGAGCAAAUAAUUCUCCAGCAACAGAUUCCAAUGAAAAGAAAAAGCAUGAAAUCCCUCCAAAAAGAAUUUAAGAUAAUGAUACUAAAGAAUCUCAUGAGAUACAAGAGAAUGCAGAAAAACAAUACAAAGAAAUUAGAAAAACAAUUCAGGAUAUGAAUGAGAAAUUUGAAAGAGAUAGAUUUCAUUAAAACAAUCAAAUGUAGAUUUCUGUGUUAAAAAGGAAUGUUCACAUUUUCUUAAAAUUAAUUUUGAAAUAACAUCUUUUAGUGUUUUUCAAUAUAGCAAAUAUUAGGUAGGUAGAAAGUGAAAACUCCACAAUAAUAAUAUUUAAUACUCUGUGUAAACUAUGUGAAUAAAAUAGUUAUUAGUAAUUCUUUUGAGUCUUGUAUCUAUUAAUCAGCAUAACACAUCUCUGCAUAAUUUACAGUUUAACAGAAAAGCAGGAACUAAAUUAUACCACCUUAGUUUACAAAAAUACAGAAAGAAAAGUAUUAACCUAAAUAAAACUAACAAUAGCAUGUCAUGUAAUUAGAAGAAAAGCUAAAGAUUUUUUCAGCAUCUGAAGUAGUUUUAUAAAAAUGAUAAGUUAUUCAAGUUGUAAGCAAUUUAAUAUAAUCUGAAUAUAAUCAGAGGCCCAAAAUUAAUUGAAAAGUUGUAUAACCCAUAUCUUUGUUUUCAAGAAAAAAAAUUCUUGAUAUUACAAAGCAAAAUUGAAAUAUUUUAAAGUGAUUUCAAAAUGAGGAUACUAGAAAGUGAGAAAUUAAGACAGAGAACCCCUUCAUUGUUCAUACAACUUCACGUACGCACACACGUUCAUACUGUUGUGGUGAGAAAUUAUGCCAUUUCAGCUAUUCCUAAUAAUAUUCUCAUUUGGCGGAUUUAAGUCAGCACCUUAAUAUCAUUCUAGAAUAAUUUUUAUGGUAUAAUACAAAAUGAUUUUAGGUUAGAUUUUGGUAGAAAAUAGCCAAGGCCCAUUUGGCUGCUACUUUUCUUGGAAGAGAAAAAAAUAAAAGCUUUAUCUUAAUUAAAGUUUAAUUAAGGAUCACGUUUGGCAGUACUUUUCACACCGAUCUACACCAGCAGAUUUUCUAGGGCUUAACUUUAUCGUGCAGAAAAUCCUCUUUUAUUACUCCCAACCUGUUGUAAAAGCUGUUGGCACAGAGAGCUGGUUGCUUCAUUCAGAUGCCUUGUUUGCCACUGGAAAUAUCCCAAGUCUCUAGAGAUAGCACCACAGUGGUUCAAUUUAAUAUCUGUCCUAUCACUACAAGACUCCAGCUCAUUAUUAAUGAUACUAUUCAUUAAUUUCUUGUUGGGCUGAUGUUGUUAUUUAUUAAAAUAUUAAAGAAUGCCCCUGGGACACAUGCAUAAUGAGGGACACCUCAGUUUCAUAAGCGAUACCAGCUGAAGGAAUGAAUGAACACACUACAGCUUUACCCACCCUACGCUGCACCAUUCCUCCCUCAUUAGUCCUGCUACAUCUCUGAGUGACACUGUAAAUUCAUUUUGUGCUCUGUCCAAUCAGAGCUUAAUACAAAUGCAGGGCCCUUUUUUUUUAAUGAGCCAUUCCUAUGCAAAAUGAAUUGACUACUGUCUAACUCAUCUAAUCCGCCUGUAUUUUGGGGAAGAACUAAAUUGCCUGUGUUUAUAUGGGAAAUAAAUAAAAGUUGACAUAUUUUUUUCCUUUUCAGUCUUACAUUUGGAAAAUUUCAACAUAAUAAAUUCUCCAUCUUAAGAACCUGCCACCUUAGUUAACUAAAUCCCAGCAUGACAUUUAAACAUGUGAUCGUCGUAUUUAAAAAAGCCUAAACAAGCAGUUUGUACAUGGCAGUGGUCAUUUGAUGUGUGUUUGCACAUGCAUUCAGGUGCAGACUACAGAAAUUCUGAGGAUGCUUGAUGUAUUUGCUCACCCUUUUAAUACAUGGGUAUUUAAAGACAUUCUUUGAGUGUGCUAAAAUGUAUAUGGUAGUAUAAAAGAGAAAAUAUGUGAAAUGUUAUAACAUUUUCAACUAUGUAGGGAAUAAAUAUUAAAAUAUUUUUAUUAGAGAAGAAAAAUCUUAUUUUUUGAUGCCCCUGCUUGUCACUGAAUGUACAGAGUGAAAUCUGCAUAACAAUUGAGGUAGCAUCUGAAGGUAAAGUUUUAAUUUGUUCUAUAUGGUUGUUAUUUUCUCUCCUGUGCAAAUAAUUACUCUGGUGAAGAAAUACCACACUGUUUUGAGGGGAUUAACUGGGCAUAAUUGCAGCCUGUUUUGAUCCCUCUUUUAAUAAUGGAUUCUUUCAAUCUAUAUCUGGUAGAGCAGCUUUGUAGGGAUAGUUUAAAAGCUCUUAUAGAUGCCUAUGCAAUCUUUAUAUUGUGAACUUCUACCGGUUUGUUUCUGAGCAAAAAAAGCCUUUGUAUUUAUAUGGUAACAUGGAAGCUGUACGUUGCAAAUCUUAACCCAUAUUUGCCUAAAACAAUAAAUUAUGGUUGUUUUAAACUCUUCCAAUGGCU